UGGCGGACGGGUGAGUAACGCGUGGGUAACCUGCCUCAUACAGGGGGAUAACGGUUAGAAAUGACUGCUAAUACCGCAUAAGACCACAGCACCGCAUGGUGCAGGGGUAAAAACUCCGGUGGUAUGAGAUGGACCCGCGUCUGAUUAGGUAGUUGGUGGGGUAACGGCCUACCAAGCCGACGAUCAGUAGCCGACCUGAGAGGGUGACCGGCCACAUUGGGACUGAGACACGGCCCAA
rnacentral:rRNA from 1 species